CGCGAGAGCCGGGGCGCUGGCGCCAUCUUGUUCCCCAGCGCCCGGCGGAAGGACGGUCGUGGGCGGGGCUGGCGGGCAGGUGCGGAGCCUUCAGACCCUGCUCUCCGGCGCUGACGAUGAAAAAACUAAGAACUAAGAGAGAGGUGGAGAACUAAGAGAAGAAAAGCCAUUCACACGAAAUUACACACCACGAACAAACGUUCUGUUCAACAGGUGUUUAAUGCCCCUGAUCUUUGGCCUGCUCUCAGCCGCAGCCAGCACACAAGUCCUCCUGAGGAUAGGCUGGCUUCAGGGAAAAGUAUUCUCUUACCUACUCUCAUACCACCCCUUCAUCCAUUCCCUGCACCUGGUCCUUUUCAGCUUUGUUUACUCCUCUCUGUAAAAGAAGCCCCCCUUUUGUCCAGCCCUUGAGACACUUGCAGAUCUUAUGGUCACAGCGCUGUGUCCAUUACAAUAGACCCCCUCCCCUGAUUGUAAUAGUCCCUUUCCUCCCAGGCAACAAUCCUUUCAAAUAAAGUCUCCCUUUGCUAAAUCCGGAUCUGUUUUUUAUUUGACAGGUGUUUAUUUUGGGGAUGAUAACAAUGUUCUAAAAUUGAUUGUGGUUGCCAACUCUGUGAAUGUACUAAAACCAUUGAAUUGAACACUUUAAAUCGGUGAAUCGUGUAUCACAUAAAUUAUGUCUCUAUGAAGCUGGGGUUUAAAAUAUUUUUUAGCAGUUUUGAAGGCUGUUUUUUAAAAAGGGAAGAAAAAAAAAAGUUAGCAAAUCGGACUAGAAAUAAAUAAAAAUAAUAUAGCCUCCCAAAAGACCAUAAAGGAGACUCUCAAUGACAGCAGUGCUAAAUCCUGCUGAGUUCAAAUAAAAUUAGAAAAGGAGAGAUCAUUGGUAGAAGGCUCUAUUACUGACUUUUCAAUGCUCUUUUGGUAGAGAGAAAGCCAACUUUUUGGAUAAACUGCUAAAGUUUAAGGACUGAAUUGGGGGUAAAAGCCCAGUAGCCGCAGUUCUACAAAACAAUUGAAUUUGAACAGGAAAACAGACGGACCCCACCUUGAGGAGACAGGAAGGUAAAACCAAUUACAACUGCAGUUUUUGUUUGUUUCUGGUUUUUAUGUGUAGGAUAGGAGACCAGUGUAUGUUGAAAGCAAAGGAGGAAGGGAGGCUUGAUGGCAUUUUCAUUAAUGUAUUUUCUUGAUGUUUUCUCUGUGUUAGUCUGAAUUUAACACUCUCACCCAAACUUCCUGUAUGCUGUGGUUUCUAGCAUAAAUUAGCACUUAACAAGUUUUUUUAAAAUUAUUAUUGUUUUCUGGUUCAGAAAACCAGAAAAUGUUUGAAGGAGAAAGGAAGGAAUUUUUGAGGAAAAGAAAUAUACAAACAUUGUAGGCACUUUUCAUGUAUGUCAGAGGGACAAGAAUAGUGUCUGUAAAUCUGGGGAUGAACACCUGUGGCAACUGUGAGCCAGCUGCUGGGGACUGGUUUUCUGUGCAGGAUGUUUGUUUCUCUGAUGUGAGGACACGUAAUUCAUCCCAAAUGUUUAUUAUUAUUAUUAUUAUUAUUAUUAUUAUUAUUAUUUUAUUGUUUAAAGUAUUGCAUAUGUCUCUAU